CGCACAUUGCGCCCCUUGGUAUUCCUUGGGGCAUGCCUGUUCGAGCGUCAUUUACAUCCUCAAGCUCAGCUUGGUGAUGGGCGACUGUCCGCGAGGACUCGCCUCAAACGCAUCUGGCGGCUGGACCGGUGGUCUCCCUCUGCAGCACAAUUGCGGGGAGGGGCCCGAGCGUCUCGGCGACCAUAAGCCCAAAACCUUAAUUUGACCUCGGAUCAGGUAGGGAUACCCGCUGAACUUAA
rnacentral:misc_RNA from 1 species